UAAUCAACAAAUAAUAGUGUGUUCAGUAAAAUUGUUGAUGGUAAAAAAAAUAAAUACUUUUUUGUUAAUUGUUUACAAUGUAUAGAGUAUAUAACACAUAUAACAGUUAUUAUGAUAAUUGUAGAACAUAUAUUGUUUUUAUGAGUAAUUUACAAAAACAUUUUGAAUCUAAAAUUUAACAUCCUAAUAGUAUUUCUUGUUAGGGUUACCACCUUUUAGUGUCAAAAAUACAGUAGGCAUUUUUUU